GCUGGGUGUAGUGGUGGGUGCCUGUAAUCCCAGCUACUCAGGAGGCUGAGGCAGGAGAAUCGCUUGAACCCAGGAGGUGGAGGUUGCAGUGAGCCAAGAUCGUGCCACUGCACUCCAGCCUGGGUGACAGAGCGAGACUCUGUCUCAA
rfam:Nomascus leucogenys chromosome X, whole genome shotgun sequence.